AAAAAAGGUCACUUUUAUCAAGAAAUUCCCAGUGUAGUAUCAUUUUGAGAAAACUCAUAUUCCGCAGACAAAACAAGAAAGGUAAAAAUAUUGAGCACAUAUGAGGGAACUGAUUUUAUUGAUAAAUUCCCCAAAAGUGGGCGAUUUUGUACAAAUAAGCAAUUCCUAAAAGAGGUGAUUGCGGAAAAAGUGAAAUGGCAAUGAAAUAUCUCGGAUUUCCAUCCAAUUCCAACUCUGUUAUAGUCCUUAUGUCCUCGGUUGUCCUUUG
rnacentral:lncRNA from 1 species